UUUACCUGGAGAAAAAUAUGUGCUAUGUUAUAGGACAACGCACCAGACCAUCUGCGCUCCCUUCUUCAAAAUCCUGGUUCUGCCCAUGCUCACAAAUACUUAUAAGUAGAGUUCAGAAAGAGGAUGCUAUGUAGAUGUCAACCCAGAUCAGUGGUUGUAUUAACAUAUGCUCCAGUGAGGACUACAUCACUUCAAUCUUGGCAUUUCUACUUUGACAGUUUCUUUAAACCAGUUCCUAAAAAUCAAGGACCACUGUAUCCUUACCACUGUAAGUGAGGAUAACACAUUUAGCUUCUGUACCACAUUUCCACGUGCGAACUAAUGGUAAGGGGGAAUGAAGAUUGCAAACAUAUAUUUUGUUUGCAUUUAUAAUAACUUUAAAAUGUGCCAUUUUGAGACUGAAAACUUGCUUCUACACUAUGAAAAACAACUUCUUCAUAACAGGAACACAUGGGAAGGAAUCUCUAAAGAAACCUCACCAGGACUUUAACAACAUCCACUCCUCCCUUAGACUAACUCUGGAAUAUUUAACCCAUCAAAUUAAUUUCUUAGACACUACAGUGAAGGUUUGCAAUGGACAUACUGCCAUCAUGUUGUAUCAGAAACGAACCAACCACCAAAGGUACCUUCACGUCCCUGGCUUUCAACCUAAGGACACCGUUAGAUCCAUCGUUUACAGUUAAGCUCUAUGUUACAACCGGAUCUGCUCUGAUCCCACUGAUUAGGAUGUACACUUCAAGGAUCUGGAGCAGGGAUUCCUACAAUUACAAUACAAUUCCAGAACUGUAUCUAUUCAAAUCAACAAAGACAAACUCAGACAUCACUCUAACCUGCUACAAAAAAAAUCCCUGGGACAAGGACAACAGAAUACCUUUGGUUGUCAUCUACAGCCCCAAGCUUGAACACCUUAAUCACUAAUGACAUCUAACGCUUCCUGGAAAAUGAUGACUUUCUCAAGGUAGCCAUGGGGGACAAACCUAUCCUAGCUUACAGACAGUACACCCAACUUCAAACCAUGUCUAUCAAGCCACAGACUAACUAACUCCCAUCAUCACCAAGGCACCAGGCCUUGUAAUGGACCCAAAUGCCAGCUAUGCCUUCACAUUAAUACAUACCACAUAAUCACUGGAUCAAAUAACAAGGAAUAUAACAUAUGCUCCAGCAAGAACUACAUCACUUCAAUCUUGACAUUUCUACUUGGACAGUUUCUUUAAACCAGUUCCUAAAAAAUCAUGGUAAUUCACCUGCAACUCUACCAAUGCCAUAUAUGCCAUCACCUGCAUACAGUGUACUGCUGCUGUCUACAUCAGACAGAAGGAGAAAUUUCUACAUGUAAAAAUGAAUGAACACUGAUUUGACAUUGGCUGCAGAAAGACAUGAAGGCCUGUGGCAGAAUAUUCCAUCACUGACCUCAGGAUCACUGUUUUCAGGCAGCAAAAUUUUUUAAACCAAUUUGAAUGGGAAAUAGCAUAAAAAAAUUGUCCGCAGAUUGGAUUAUGUGUGGUCUAAACAUGGACUAUGGAUUCUUAUCCCAUUACCUGGAUUAGUUUUUGUGGCCCCUCUGCUUCUAUGGAUUCUUUGCUUGUUUGCCUCUCCUAGCACUGCCUUUCUCCCACACCCUUCCUCUCCAUCUUCCUUUCUCACCUUUUGCAUUCAAAAUGCUCACUCCACUUUAUACGUUGCUUUUUGCUUAUCCUUUCACAUCAUCUGAUGAAUUGAGCUCAAAUUCACAAAAGCUUAUGCUCUAGUCUAGAUAUCUUAUUUAAUUGGUCUAUAAGGUACAUACCAACCCUACCAUCUGAUUGACUUCAAGCUAACAUGGCUAACUACCUCUCCAUGUGUAAGCAAACCAGUAAGCAAACUUCAUCCCACUGUCUCAGUGUUGUGACCCUCGCUCUCUUUACCCUCUUGUAUUCAUCCCUUUUCAUGUAACAGUCAUAGCUAAUCUUUGGCUCUAGUCAUUCAAUGGACAGCAGGCAAGUGAGCUGCUCCACUUACGCAGAGUCCUGUUGAAUCCUGUGGGGGUAUACAGAUAUAAGAGUCUGCCUGUACACUGCCAGUUGCGAGAUCAGCUCCCAAGACUGCAAAUACUUCAAGACAGGGACUAUUUCUUUUUCUGUAGAGUGCCCAGUAUUUCACAUAAAUAAUAAGUAAAUGAAGCAGACUGACUGACCAGCUCUACAUGAGAUCUAUGUUAUUGGUUUUGGUUAGGCCUGAUUUAUACAGUGCAAACCUUAAUGUUUCCUCAAACAAAGCUGACCUUUCUGAGCCAAUCUUUUGAAUCAGAAUACGUUAAUUUAUGCAGGAACCCCUUUACCUUUAUUCUGCUUGACAGUCUAUAUAUUUGUUUAUGGCGUUCAAAACAAACCCACUGGUAGAGGAUACUGAGCUUAGAGAAGAAUUGUGUAUUAUUCUCCUGUUAGAAACAGCCAAGAGAAAUUUAAGAUAGCUUAGCUACAGAACAUAAUGAAAAGCAAAGAAACUGAGUAAUGGGAUGAGUCACAGUUGUGUAAGGACAUGGAUUGAUUUGUCUGUGUAGUCUAGAAUUUCUGUUGAGUAGUAUCUCAGUUUUCUGUACAUUGUAAUUUAGAUUAAUAAGAGCAUCUCAUUACUGUGUUUUCACCUUUUCUUUAAUGUUUUUCUUUAAAAAUUGUAUUUGCAUAUGUAAAUAAACAAAAUAGUCAUAGUAAGACAAAUAAUAAUGUCAAAUAGUUGUUUUUUUUCCUUAUGCCUGGUGAAAAAACAAAUGUUGAAGUGGGAUAAGCUA